GGAUUGGUGUUUCAAACAACGGAAAUACUUGGGAGCCCAAGAAAAUCUUUAUUGUAAUAAUUUCAUUGCAGCAUUCGAAAUCAAAUUCUACCGUUAAAUGAGAAUCCUGAAAACAAGCUAAGUCAAGAGAAGAAAAUUGUGAAGAAAGAAGAACUAAAGCACAGUUUUCUUCAUGUCAUUAUGGAUGCCCAGUCUUACAACAGGAUUUGAUAGAACUGUAGAUGUGGAGACAAUUUUUUGAGUGAGCGAUGACGGUGAAGAAACUAUAUAGACAGUUGUAGGGAUGUGUAAGGAAUGGUGGUUGUAGAGCAGGAGAUCAAUCUUUUAUACAAACCAUUUCCAUUUUUAUUAUAAAUAGUCUUUUUAGCCGCUGAAUGUAGCUGGGACAUAAAAUAUUGGAAUUGUAGUGUCAGGACAUUUGGCACGCUAUGCCUAGUUUUAUUGGCUGACCAGAAUUACAAACACAUUGUCACAGCAGUCUUUCAACAAUCAUUGUUGAAAAUUUUUUUCCCCUAAGUUUUUGUACUAUUAUCUUUCUG